CCUACGGGUGGCUGCAGUGGGGAAUAUUGGACAAUGGGCGGAAGCCUGAUCCAGCCAUGCCGCGUGUGUGAAGAAGGCCUUCGGGUUGUAAAGCACUUUCAGUGGGGAAGAAAGCCUUGGGGCUAAUACCCUCGAGGAAGGACAUCACCCACAGAAGAAGCACCGGCUAACUCCGUGCCAGCAGCCGCGGUAAUACGGAGGGUGCGAGCGUUAAUCGGAAUUACUGGGCGUAAAGCGCGCGUAGGCGGUCUGAUAAGCCGGUUGUGAAAGCCCCGGGCUCAACCUGGGAACGGCAUCCGGAACUGUCAGGCUAGAGUGCAGGAGAGGAAGGUAGAAUUCCCGGUGUAGCGGUGAAAUGCGUAGAGAUCGGGAGGAAUACCAGUGGCGAAGGCGGCCUUCUGGACUGACACUGACGCUGAGGUGCGAAAGCGUGGGUAGCAAACAGGAUUAGAUACCCCAGUAGUC
rnacentral:rRNA from 1 species